GGGGAAAAGGUUCCUCCAGCUCUCGGAGUCUCUGGCACACCCGGUUAUAGCACAGCUGUGCGGACGUCACACUCUCUUGGCUGCAGGCGCCUGCAAGAGGCUGUUUUUCAAAGGUGUGGCAAAGGAGGCAGCAGGUCCUGGAACCGCACGGAUCUGGGUCCAAGUUCCGGCUCUGCCAUUCAUCAGUGUCCCAACCUGAGGACUGCUACCUAGCUUUCUGCCAUGCAUAAACGAGCAAACACCAUAAACGAGAAAACCACCACCUUCCAGGGGUGGUCAACAACCUGGCCUUUCAUCACUGUGUCUGCUUGCCUGGCACACACACCCCCUCAGAUGGGAGGGGACCCUACCACUCUGUCACCCAGUCUUGGCCAUUUGGACCCUCUCGCUGGAAUCUGAGCGUCCACUGCAAGGACCCAUGGGCCCUUGGUAUUGGUUAAUUCCAAUGGCCCCACCUGACAAGCAAACCACUGGUUCCUUCUCCCACAGCCCAGAGUUCUCCCACUCCACCGCCUAAGGAUCUGCUUCAUCAGUUUUACUAGGCAUCUGGAACCUAAUGUGAUGAAACACCUAAGUUGGGUCAAAAGUAAUACACAGACCUCCGCUGGCUGUCCACACAAGGGCAGAAGGCACAGUUCAAAGGGCCUGAGGAUUUUGUUUUCCUGUGCACAGAAGACCCCCUCUCCACUCCGCAUCUCCAAGCCCUUGUCCUCCAGGCUCAUUCUGCACCCGUCACUCUGCCUGUAACUUACAGUGAUUCUCCCCUUUCACUGGGAGAAGCAGCCGGUGACUUGGGGGCUGGAUCCUCUCAUUAUCCCAUUGAGCAGAGGAGAAGACAAGCUCAGCGAGGCUAAGCGGCACUGCCACCACCUCGAUUCAAACCUUGUCCUCUUCACCACUGUCCCAUCCACCCCGUCACCCUCACGCCGCCUCCAGCAGGCAUCUGCGUCUCUGGAUCCGAGCACAGCCACCCUUGGAGGACACGCAUCCCCCGCCCACCCCCCCUUCCCACCAAGACGCUAAGUACACGGCUGGCAAUCAUGGGUGAUAUCUGUGACAUUGCACACGAGCCUCCUUUUAUCUUUUCCAGCUCCCUUUGUUUAUAUAUCAAAUGGAACAGCACUCACCCUCUUCAAAGGGAGAAGGAGAGGCAGUGAUGUGGAAUGAAUCUCUUAGAAGUAGAAUUUGACGGCGACUGAAAGAUUUAUCCAAAUGAGAGGGUACGAGGACCGGUCACAUGCCUGUCAUUUAUAGCAUCGUGAUGGGCUCUAUGCCAUUAACUUUUAAUUAACUCAAUUAGAACAGAAUGUCUGACACCACAAUGAGCACAUACAAA